rnacentral:rRNA from 1 species
GACGAACGCUGGCGGCGUGCUUAACACAUGCAAGUCGAGCGAGGCCCCUCCUUCGGGAGGGUGUCCUAGCGGCGAACGGGUGAGUAACACGUGGGCAACCUGCCCUCAGCUCUGGGAUAACUCCGGGAAACCGGGGCUAAUACCGGAUACGACCUCCACGGGCAUCUGCGGAGGUGGAAAGUUUUUCGGCUGAGGAUGGGCCCGCGGCCUAUCAGCUAGUUGGUGGGGUAGUGGCCCACCAAGGCGACGACGGGUAGCCGGCCUGAGAGGGCGACCGGCCACACUGGGACUGAGACGCGGCCCAGACUCCUACGGGAGGCAGAAGUGGGGAAGAGUGCGCAAUGGGCGAAAGCCUGACGCAGCGAAGCCGCGUGAGGGACGAAGGCAUUCGGGUUGUAAACCUCUUUCAGCAGGGACGAAGCGAAAGUGACGGUACCUGCAGAAGAAGCACCGGCCAACUACGUG